rnacentral:rRNA from 1 species
CUGGUUGAUCCUGCCAGUAGUCAUAUGCUUGUCUCAAAGAUUAAGCCAUGCAUGUCUAAGUAUAAACUGCUUUAUACUGUGAAACUGCGAAUGGCUCAUUAAAUCAGUUAUAGUUUAUUUGAUGGUACUUACUUACUCGGAUACCCGUAGUAAUUCUAGAGCUAAUACGUGCGUACAUCCCGACUUCUGGAAGGGACGUAUUUAUUAGAUAAAAGGCCGACCGGGCUUGCCCGACUCGCGGUGACUCAUGAUAACUUCACGAAUCGCAUGGCCUCGCGCCGGCGAUGUUUCAUUCAAAUUUCUGCCCUAUCAACUUUUGAUGGUAGGAUAGAGGCCUACCAUGGUGGUAACGGGUGACGGAGAAUUAGGGUUCGAUUCCGGAGAGGGAGCCUGAGAAACGGCUACCACAUCCAAGGAAGGCAGCAGGCGCGCAAAUUACCCAAUCCUGAUACAGGGAGGUAGUGACAAUAAAUAACAAUACCGGGCCUUUGGUCUGGUAAUUGGAAUGAGUACAACCUAAACACCUUAACGAGGAUCAAUUGGAGGGCAAGUCUGG